UGAUGCCAGGGUCAAAAGGUCUAAACCCACAUGAGCUUGCUCAUAGGUGGGUGAAAGACCUUGGGACCCGCCCCAAUAUGAGCAUAAAAGUGGAGCGUAAGCUUCACGAUAUGCGAAUAUAGGGCAGGAUUGUGGGAGUACGAAGUACGAAACAAUCCGUAAGGCAUCU
rfam:Roseburia sp. CAG:303 genomic scaffold, scf456